rnacentral:lncRNA from 1 species
GUGGUUAUAAAUCACCGUCUCGGUUCUUGCAGGCUCCUGGGAUGAGGAGACAGCUGAUAGGUGAAAAGGCCACCUGGCUUUCCUCACUCCCUGAGCCUCUAUCUACCCCAGCAGCUGGGCUUCCUUAAAUCUCAUGCGUUAUGCUCAGUUCUGUCCUAGGCAGUGGAAGAAAUCCUUCCUAGGCAAGGUGCAUAAGAAGGUCUUGAUGUCAUGAACACUUAGGCAUAGGAUUCAGCCAGUGUUGCUCCUCCAUUAUCAGCCAGUGUGGCUCCUCCAUUAUCAGGUCAGCAUUGCCACUUUUUUCACUCUGACCCACUUUGUUAGCAUUCCUGAUACUAUUUUCCAUUCCUUAAGCCAUUAUUUCUG